UUUCUGUCUCAUUGACAUUGUUAUUUUUGUUGUUAGAUUUCUGUCUCAUUGACAUUGUUAUUUUUGUUGUUAGAUUUCUGUCUCAUUGACAUUGUUAUUUUUGUUGUUAUGAUUUCUGUCUCAUUGACAUUGUUAUUUUUGUAGUUGGAUUUCUGUCUCAUUGACAUUGUUAUUUUUGUUGUUAGAUUUCUCUCUCAUUGACAUUGUUAUUUUUGUAGUUGGAUUUCUGUCUCAUUGCCAUUGUUAAUUUUGUAGUUUGAUUUCUGUCUUAUUGACAUUGUUAUUUUUGUAGUUGGAUUUCUGUCUCAUUGACAUUGUUAUUUUUGUAGUUGGAUUUCUGUCUCAUUGACAUUGUUAUUUUUGUUGUUAGAUUUUUGUCUCAUUGACAUUGUUAUUU
rnacentral:lncRNA from 1 species